CCUAAUGAGGGGCCCUAGGCUUGGGGUGUGUGCAGCUCUGCUCAGUGACGUAUCUGAGUUCCCCAGUAUUUUUUGGCGGAUGAAAUUACACAUGAGAAGAUAAGCAAUUUGUCUUAUAUUCAGACCGUUCCCUAAUACAUCAAUCGAGUUGAACAAAUUUGUGUUUUCACAACAGGCGUUGCAACAGGGCUUGCUGGGGAGCUGUCUGGGUCAUCCUGGGUUGAGUCUGUGUAAAGUGAAAAGUUGACACACGUCAUCCUACACUGUUGAAUAAAUUUAAAAAUGACCACUUUUCUCAGCCAGAGACUGUUGAAAAAAUGAAAAGCAAAACAAAAGAAGGCAAAACAAAACAAAGGCUUGGAGUGUCUGCUAAGCCAGUGACCCAUCCAGAGGCAGAUGGGGGCCAGUUAGUGCCCCCAGACCUCCCCUCCGGGGGCAGGCUUUCCCUAACCACCCUUCCUGGAUCUUCUGGCCCUCGGGCAAGGAAGGAAGUGUGGUUUCACAUUUCCAUGGUUCCACGGAUCACACUACAGACCCCUCCUGUGCGAGUGUUGUGCAGAUGCUGGGAGGUGAAGCUGGCGAGGCUCGACGUGGCUGGCAGGGCGCCGGUGCUGGGUGCAGAUGUGGCUGGCAGGGUGGGAGAAAGUGGAUUAGGAAGGCAGAGCUGUGUCCAGCGGGCAUCUUGGUGGACACCGCAUUCAGGAGGGAUGCAUGGAACAGGGCUCAGCUGUUGCCCUGUCCACUGCUGACGGGCACAUGUGCUGCCCUUGGACACAGCCGAGGUCAGGAUUCACUUCUGUGACCUCCUGGGGAUGGGUCCCUUCCUUAUGGGUGGCUGGGGGUCCCCAGCUGCCCACACACGGCACAUCUGGGCCAGGCAGGACAUGGUGCCCACCCAGCUCCUGUCCAUCUUCAGGGGAGCUGAGGACAGUGGUGCUUGACCUCAGCCCUGCAGGGCCCAGUCAGCUGGGAGAACACGUCCAGCCUCUCCAUCUGCUUUGCAUCGUGGCCCGGAGUUCCGAUGCUUCGCAAUCACUCUCGGCCACAUGUUUUGGAAAUUACCCUCCACAGCACGGCCUUGCCGAUGACUUCAGCUGGCUCGCGCUCCCUCACAGUAAUGUCACAGGACACGGCCUGCCUGCCAUUCCAGCUCAGACCUGGGAGGCUCUCGGGGACCCGAGGUCCCUCCAUGCUCCCCUCUCCCUGACCGCAGGCCUCCCCGGCCACAGCAGCUGCCGCCUCUCAAUCAUUUCUUCACCAGUGCUCGGCCGACCUGCACUCCACACAGAGUCUGCUGUGUGCUGAGCUCCGUGAUGUCUCUGUGCCGGGAGAUGGGAUCACAUCCAGGCCACCUAAGCUGUGCCUGCCCAGUGUCACAAACUCGUCAGGACUCACACAACCCAGGAUGGCAGUGAGUCAGCCCGGAUUCCGCACGCUCACCCACCCAAGCCGCACUGCCACUUAUCAAAGCAUUUUUGGAAUAGUUUAAAGCAUCCAUACCUCCUUCCUUUGGAUGUUCUUGCUGGUGACAAACCUUUAUCUUGCAAGAGUGGAUUCAAAUUUCAGGACAAAUGAAAGUGGCUGGAACAGAGACUCACUGGUGUCCUGGUCCUCUGUAAGUGAGGUUGGAAGGCUGCCUGGCGGCUCAGCAAGGGAGGAUUAAGUGAAUUAAGACACGUCGUCAGCAGGUCUGCAGGGCCCCUGCAAAGCAGACACCCGGUGGACAGAGGUGCUCUGGGGUGGAUGGGGGUUUAUGAGGCAACGGGCACGGUGGGCUCCCUGGGGAGAAAGCCCAUGGUCGUUUCAGCCCAGGGCUCCUGGGGAUCUGGGAGGUGGUGGUGUUGAAGGAGGGCACCUCCCUCUGUGUUCCUUCUCUCAGCAAACCUUGAUGGAGGGAGGUUGCUCUUCUGUGCUGGGUGGGCUUGGGGUACAGAGUGAAGAAGAAACAUGAGAUCUGCUUGAGUGCAUCAGCGUUUAUUUAAUAAAUCCCUAAUUGAUGGGUUUAGAUAGUUUGGGUUUUUUCCUACUACAAACCACGUGGCAGUGAGCAUCUUUAUUUAUCCAUCCUUGUGUAAACAUCUUAUUAAUGCCUUAGGAUCUACUUAACAUUCAGACAGGAAUCCAAGUAAUUACUACAAAGCUUGCUGCCCCAGCUUCCAUUCUGCUGACCCAGGGGUCCCCCACGCCUCUGCUCUGGGGGUCAGGCCUGAUGACUGCUAGGCUGAUAUGGCUUCAAGGAGGUGCAGGUGGUCAGGACUCCCUGCCCCCAUGGGAGGUAGAAGUCAGCUGACUGGGGCAGGGGCCAUGGGCAUUCCUCACGGCAGGGCUCCUGGGCAGCGUCCCCAUUUCUCCCCCUCUUUCACCUCCCAAAGCCUCCUUAUCCCGUCCAUAUCUGCUAAGGAAUUUCCCCGGCACCUCUGCUUGCCAGCCACUCUGGGGUUCCAGCCCAUUCCGAUGGCAUCUGGCUAGAAGAAUUUGAGUCGGGUCUGGUUGUGACAGUGACGCCCCCAGAGAGUUCACCCCAGGUGGUGUGGAGCUGGGAAGCCACCCCGAAGCCACCCCAGGGCCUGCUGUUGACAGGAGCUCCCUGCACAGCGUGGCACCACCUUGCCAGGGCACAGGGUCAGGCUCCCUUGGUGCAGGUCUGCAUGUCCCUGGUAAUCAGGAUGCCCACAACCCACGCACCUACAGCCACAUGUGUUGUAGGGUUGCUGGGGUAAAUGAUGGAGCCCUCCCAUGAAGCUCAAAGGAGUUGAGGAUUGAAAACUUUGCCCUUGGCCUGGGGACAUGAGGAAAAAUGUGACCAGAGCUGCCAACACCCUUUUACACAAGUUCAGUGCUGGAGAGAAACAGUUCACACAGAUUAGAAGGUGGAACUGUUAAACACUGUUGAGAGUCAGAGAACAUAGGCCUAUAAUUGUCUUCACAUAUUUGAACUCAAAUUCAGAAGUUGAUUUUUGUUGAAUUAUGUCUAUAAAAUUUUUCUCAACUUUUAUUAGUUUGGUGUGGAGAGAGAUAUAUAAAACUUCAGUCAGUCAGUCAGUUCAGUCGCUCAGUCGUGUCCGACUCUUUGCGACCCCAUGCCAGAUGCCAGCACACCAGGCCUUCCUGUCCAUCACCAACUCCCGGAGUCUACCCAAACCUAUGCCCAUCGAGUCAGUGAUGCCAUCCAGCCAUCUCAUCCUCUGUUGUCCCCUUCUCCUCCUGCCCCCAAUCCCUCCCAGGAUCAGGGUCUUUUCCAAUGAGUCAACUCUUCGCAUGAGGUGGCCAAAGUACUGGAGUUUCAGCUUCAGCAUCAGUCCUUCCAAUGAACACCCAGGACUGAUCUCCUUUAGGAUGGACUGGUUGGAUCUCCUUGCAGUCCAAGGGACUCUCAAGAGUCUUCUCCAACACCACAGUUCAAAAGCAUCAAUUUUUUGGCACUCAGCUUUCUUCACAGUCCAACUCUCACAUCCAUACAUGACCACUGGAAAAACCAUAGCCUUGACCAGACGGACCUUUGUGGCAAUAUAAAACUUAACCAUUGUUUAAUACUUUAUAACAGACAAGUGGAGUUCCCAGUGAGGAAGAAGCUCCCUUUCUGCCCAGGGAUUUGAAUAGAGCAGGAAGUUUGCCCCCCAAAAUGAGCUCAAACCUUACCACCCGUGGGCCUGGUAACUGUGUUUAUAGUAUUUCCAUGGCACAGAGUCAAGCAGAUGAGACUUUGGGUAAAAUGGAGGCCAGGGAGCUAGUGAAUGCAGGGUCUCCAGACACCCCCAGAAAAAGACAACUUAAGCCCAAGAUGAGCACAUAGUGGAAAAACCACAUUAGGAAAUGAACUCUCCUGAGGAAUAACCAACCAACCUAGGGUUAGCACUCUGUCAACUAGAAAUAACAGAAAUGAGAUAAAUGAAAUAAAUAUGAAAAAAAUGAAAUAAAUAUGUUUACUUAAAAUUACGAAAUAUAAAGGGAGGAGUUAGAAUGAAAGACCAGAACAGGAGAAAUGGAUUUGGAAUUGAACCUGAGGAUCUUAUUUAAAUGAAAAAAUGUAGCCUUUAAAAUAAAUGAACUCACUGGGUAAGUUACACAGAAAAAACUCUAGCAAAGUCAGUGAGAAGGAAGGAUCUAAGGAUACAAAUGAGAGAAACAGACGUGGAGGAGAGGACAGAACCAUUUAGAAAACAGAGCUGGAGUGGGGAAGUCCAGUGACAGCUCCUGGGAUUUACAAGUGGUGAAUGGGGUAUGAGAGAGGCAUUAGAAGAUACUGGGGGAAAAGUCAGGGAAAAAACCUUGCCCUCCCAGUUAUUAAAAUAACCCCAGCCCUCCUACACUGUUGGUGGGAAUGUAAAUUGGUGGAGCCAUUAUGGAGAACAGUAUGAAGUUUCCUUAAAAAACUAAGAGCUACCAUAUGACCCAGCAAUCCCACUCCUGGGCACAUAUCCAGAGCAAAAUCAUGGCCUGAAGGGAUACAUGCACCCAGUGUUCAUUGCAGCACUGUUUAGAGUAGCUAAAGCAUGGAAGCGACCUAGAUGUCCAUCUACAGAGGAAUGGAUAAAGAUGUGUACAUGUAUACACAGUGGAAUAUUACUCAGCCAUUAAAAAAGAAGGAAAUAAUGCCAUUUGCAGCAACAUGGAUGAACCUAGAGAUUGUCACAUUGAGUGAAGUAAACCAGACAGAGAAGGAGAAAUAGCAUAUGACACCCCUUAUAUGUGGAAUCUAAAAAGAAAUGAUAUAAAUGAACUUAUCUACAAAACAGAAACAGAAACAGACUGAGAGACUUAGAGAACGAGCUUGUGGUUGCCAGAGGGGAAGGGAUAGUUAGAGAGUUUAGGAUGAACAUGUGCACACUGCUAUAUUUAAAAUGGAUAACCAACAAGGACUUGCUGUAUAGCACAGGGAACUCUGCUCAAUGUUAUGUGGCAUCCUGGAUGGGAGGGGAGUUUGGGAGAGAAUGGAUACAUGUGUUUGUAUGGCUGAGUCCCAUUGCUGUCCACCUGAGACUGUCACAACGCUGUUAAGCAGCUCUACUCCAGUAUAAAGUUAAAGAUGAAAAAAAAUACACUCCAAAGCAAGGGUACUUCAAAAGCACGGUGCAGAGACAGGUAAAUGGAUGUAGAAAAUAGAGUCUAACAUGUGGCCCUUUAAAUGAGAAGUUAGGAAUUUGGAAACACUUCAAGCAGAGGAAAAGAUCAUUCAAAAAUGUUGAUAGUACAAUUAAUUCACCUUUUGGAAAAAAAUAACGUUGGAACCUUACCUCAUGUGCAAAAUAAAGCCUGUGUGGUUUAAAUGGCAAAAAUAUCAAAAAAUAUAAAAUCUAUAGAAGAAAAAUAUAUUCAUAAUUCUACUGUAGGAAAGGCUUACUACCCCAAAUUCCAAGUCCAUAAAGGACAAGAUGAACACAUCCAGUGGUGUAAAAACUUAAGCUGUUGUGUAGCAAAGACAUGAAGGCAGAAGUUGCAAGACAUGCGUCAGGCUAGGAGGCAGUGCUGCAUGUGGAGAAGGUAGCCCUGCCCCCCAGAGAUGCCUGCGUUUGAAUGCCUGGGAUACCUCUUGCCAAAGGGACUUGGACAUGUGAUGAAGUUAAGGCUCCUUAGAUGAGCUUUUCCUGGAAAGGGUGGACCAGUGUCAUCAUAAGUUCCUUACAGGAGGGAAGCAGGAAGGUCGGAGUCAGAGAAGGAGAUGUGACCAUGGAAGUGAAGGUCAGGCUGAGCCCCGAACCAAGGGAUCUGGCGCCUCUAGAAGCGGGACAUGGUAGGAGAUGGAUUCUCCUGUGGAGCCUCCAGAGGGAACCAGCCCUGCAACACCGUGAGUUCAGCCAAUGAGACCUGUUUCAGAUGUCUGCCCUUCAGAACCAUGAGAAAAGGAGCUCCUGUUAUCUUAAUAUGUUUGGUGAAUUUGUUAUAGCAGCACCAGGAUGAUUAUACAGACGUAGAUAUUCAGGUCAAGUCUGUUGCACAGAUACCUCAUGUAUAUAUUCAGAUCAAAACUUUUAUAGAUUAUGCAGAAAUAAAGGGCCAAGGAUCUGAAUAGUUUCCAGAAGAAGAAAUACAAAUGGGCCUGAAGGCUGCUUCUCAGAAAAUGAUGAGGAAUCUGUCAUCAGGAGUCAGAGACCCAGG
rnacentral:lncRNA from 1 species